GAUGCUUGGCUUUCAUUGGGAAUAAAAUUGUUCAAUUUGUUUUUAGUUUACAAUUUUUUUUAAAAAUUUAACAUUGUCAUUUCUGAGUUACUGAAAAUGAUAAAUGAUAAAAGCAUAUGUACUCAUUUCUUAUUGCAGAACAUUUGUUAUGUCAUAUGGUUGCUUGGUCUAAUUAUUAGUUCCCUAUUAUUUGUCAUAUGUCAUUUUAGCUACCAUUUAGCAGGUUUGUUUAUGUAGUGUUGAUUGAAUUUUUUUUCUUCAAUUUCUUUAUGGAUAACUGAAAGAGGAGUGCAGAGAAGUGGGGCAUAAUUGUUUGUUUCUUUAUGGUUUUGAUUUCAUACGAUUUGCGAUUUGAUUCAGUGAGUAAUCAAUACGAACAGGUUGUAUAAAUCACAAAUAGCCAUGAAUCGUAGGUGAAUCGGUGAACCAAAUCGGUGAAUCGUGAAGUGAAUCGAUUCGAUUCGCUAAAAUCGAUGUUUGACUUUCCUUUUUAGUUUUUUAUUGUUGGAAAAGGGUUCACACAACCUUUUUAAGGUCUUUAGGAUUACUAUAUGCCAUCUUUUGACUUUCUCCCUCCCUCUUUUGUUAGUUUUUCAUAUCUCUUUAUCCCCUUAACAUUAUAUCCGUAAGUCAAUGGAGUUUUGUUAGUUUUAUUUAUAGAUUUAUUUAUUUUUGUUGUUGUUGUUGUUAUAUAUAAAAUUAAGAUGAAUCUUCUUUUUGAAUUUUGCAAACCCUUCAGCUCCUUCAUCUGUGUUGGACACACACACCUUUUAUUGUUGUAGUUUUUUGUCUUUUAUUUUUUUACUUUUUAUUUUAUCAGGGAAUUAGUUGUAGAGAAAUUAUCAAUUCAUGUAAGGCUGAUGUUUUUAUUCUUAAUGCUUUGUACAUGUGACGGAGGCAUCAAAAUUUGGUGAGGAAAAUAGUUCUAAAGGCCCCAUCAAUAGAGGGAAUGGAAGGUGAGGGGGAGAUUAAUCAAAUGAUCAAACUUUUGGUUGAGGAAAAAGUUCUCAUUUGCUAAACUUUUGACUGGGGUGAGGAAAAAGUUUCCCUUUGCUUGACUGUGCUGAGUUUAUGAAUUUAUCUAUUUUUUGGAUAAUAUUCUCUUCGCUACUUAUUUUUAUUAUUAUUUAUUGUUUUUGGGAAAGACCAAAAAAAUUGGCAGUUUUUUUGUUUUUUGUUUGCAUUAUUUCUAAAUAGGUUGAAUGCUCUCAAUUGGAUCUCAGUUGUGAGUUUAUGAAA